UGUGCCUCGUCAUUCGGACAGCCUGGUACUUAAGGACAGCAGACCUGGCCUUGCCUCUUCCCACCUGGGAUUUUUUCAACUGCUCAAAGGCCAGUUUCUUUGUUUGCAGAAUGGGCAUAAUAAGAGUACCUAUCGAUGGGGUGCUUAGCACAAGGCUAUGAGACAUUUAAGUACAAAGCUGUCUUUCCGAUCUUUAUAUUUGGCCGUGCCCAGCAAAGUGAACCCAUGGAUUCCACACACGUUUAUGAGGUGCCUGCUAUGGGUCAGGCACAUUGCUAGGACUCUACGAGAAGAUGUAACAAAGGAGUCAGGAGUCAUGAGCACCACCUUGAAUGACAUGCUGCUGUCAUUAAUGUAACUGUAAUGAUAACGUUCUGAACUAGCAACACACAGUCUUCCCAAGAAUCAACAGAGUACUCACAUUCUGGAGAAUUCAGGAUAUGUCCAACAAAGGUGUAUGGAUAGUGGUUAGACGAUUAUAUACUUUACCGAGUGGUUCCCCCGACAUUUCCAGUACCCACAUGGCACCAUACAAGAUGCCAUUAAAAGAAGACUUGGGAAUUUUAUGUGAACCUGCAGAUGGCAUCUACAAAAGGUUAAGGAGCAUUCAUCUACUGGGGGGAAUGAAUUUUAAAAAAAAUCAACA